CAAUAGCGUAUAUUUAAGUUGCUGCAGUUAAAAAGCUCGUAGUUGGAUUUCGGGUGGGAAUGGCCGGUCCGCCGUUUCGGUGUGCACUUGCUACGCCCACCUUGCUGCCGGGGACGUGCUCUUGAGUUCACGCUCGGGACACGGAGUCGGCGAGGUUACUUUGAGUAAAUUAGAGUGUUCAAAGCAGGCCUUCGCUCUGAAUACAUUAGCAUGGAAUAACACGAUAGGACUCUGGCCUAUCUUGUUGGUCUGUAGGACCGGAGUAAUGAUUAAGAGGGACAGUCGGGGGCAUUCGUAUUUCAUUGUCAGAGGUGAAAUUCUUGGAUUUAUGAAAGACGAACUACUGCGAAAGCAUUUGCCAAGGAUGUUUUCAUUAA
rnacentral:rRNA from 1 species